rnacentral:misc_RNA from 1 species
GUAGGUGAACCUGCGGAAGGAUCAUUACCACAUCCAAAACUUUAUAUAAACCCACAAGUGUGAAGUUGUGAAAAGAGAAAGAGGAAACUCAAUCUCUUGUAACUAAACUUUUUUAAAAAUUAUAUUGAACCCCUUUUGAACUCUUAAUUAUAAGCAAGACUAAAAACAAAAUGAGAAAAGAGAAAACAACUUUUAACGGUGGAUCUCUUGGCUCGU